rnacentral:rRNA from 1 species
GACGAACGCUGGCGGCGUGCUUAACACAUGCAAGUCGAACGAGUGGCGAACGGGUGAGUAAUGUAUGGGGAUCUGCCUGAUGGAGGGGGAUAACUACUGGAAACGGUAGCUAAGACCGCAUACCAUCAGAUGAACCCAUAUGGGCUUAGAUAGUAGGUGAGGUAACGGCUUACCUAGGCGACGAUCCCUAGCUGGUCUGCGAGGAUGAUCAGCCACACUGGGACUGAGACACGGCCCAGACUCCUACGGGAGGCAGCAGUGGGGAAUAUUGCACAAUGGGGGAAAGCCUGAUGCAGCCAUGCCGCGUGUAUGAAGAAGGCCUUCGGGUUGUAAAGUACUUUCAGUCGGGAGGCGUUACCGACAGAAGAAGCACCGGCUAACUCCGUGCCAGCAGCCGCGGUAAUUC